rnacentral:rRNA from 1 species
CCUACGGGUGGCAGCAGUGGGGAAUAUUGGACAAUGGGCGAAAGCCUGAUCCAGCCAUGCCGCGUGUGUGAAGAAGGCCUUCGGGUUGUAAAGCACUUUCAGUGGGGAAGAAAGCCUUGGGGCUAAUACCCUCGAGGAAGGACAUCACCCACAGAAGAAGCACCGGCUAACUCCGUGCCAGCAGCCGCGGUAAUACGGAGGGUGCGAGCGUUAAUCGGAAUUACUGGGCGUAAAGCGCGCGUAGGCGGUCUGAUAAGCCGGUUGUGAAAGCCCCGGGCUCAACCUGGGAACGGCAUCCGGAACUGUCAGGCUAGAGUGCAGGAGAGGAAGGUAGAAUUCCCGGUGUAGCGGUGAAAUGCGUAGAGAUCGGGAGGAAUACCAGUGGCGAAGGCGGCCUCUGGACUGACACUGACGCUGAGGUGCGAAAGCGUGGGUAGCAAACAGGAUUAGAUACCCCAGUAGUC